rfam:Aedes albopictus isolate Foshan contig83733, whole genome shotgun sequence.
CUUCUCGUGGUGUAAUUGGUAACUCGCUUGUCUAGUGAGUAGAAGUCGUGAGUUCGAGUCUCACCGAGAGCA